GACAGAUGGACAUCUGUGGAUUAGGUGAAGGAGGGGUUGAGGUCAGGAGGUGAGGACAGAGAUGUGUUGAUACAUGGGGAGACAGAUGGACAUCUGUGGAUUAGGUGAAGGAGGGGUUGAGGUCAGGAGGUGAGGACAGAGCUGUGUUGAUACAGGGGAGACAGAUGGACAUCUGUGGAUUAGGUGAAGGAGGGGUUGAGGUCAGGAGGUGAGGACAGAUAUGUGUUGAUACAUGGGGAGGCAGAUGGACAUCUGUGGAUUAGGUGAAGGAGGGGUUGAGGUCAGGAGGUGAGGACAGAGAUGUGUUGAUACAGGGGAGACAGAUGGACAUCUGUGGAUUAGGUGAAGGAGGGGUUGAGGUCAGGACAGAGAUGUGUUGAUACAUGGGGGAGACAGAUGGACAUCUGUGGAUUAGGUGAAGGAGGGGCUGAGGUCAGGACAGAGAUGUGUUGAUACAGGGAGACAGAUGGACAUCUGUGGAUUAGGUGAAGGAGGGGUUGAGGUCAGGAGGAGAGGAGAGCGAUGUGUUGAUACAGGGGAGACAUCUGGGUAUUAGAUGAGAGGUUGAGGUCAGGACAGAUUCUCUGAAGAGAGUAAUUUAAUGUUUGGUAUCCUGUUACUCUCUUUAUUAGCUUCCUGUGGAGCCAUGAAAUGUAGGGAUUGGAGAGAAAGGGGAGUGUCUUAAGUAGGAUGUAUAUAAACUGUGAAGUCUGAAAUCUUUAGCUGUCUGAUUUUCUGCUGUACAGAACCUUUGGGAAAUGAUUAAACUUGGUUAAAGCUUC
ensembl:lncRNA